rnacentral:rRNA from 1 species
UACAGAGGGGGCAAGCGUUGUUCGGAAUUACUGGGCGUAAAGGGCGCGUAGGCGGCCUUCUAAGUCGAACGUGAAAUCCCCGGGCUCAACCCGGGAACUGCGUCCGAGACUGAAAGGCUCGAAUCCGGGAGAGGGAUGUGGAAUUCCAGGUGUAGCGGUGAAAUGCGUAGAUAUCUGGAGGAACAUCGGUGGCGAAGGCGGCAUCCUGGACUGGUAUUGACGCUGAGGCGCGAAAGCCAGGGGAGCAAACGGG